rnacentral:lncRNA from 1 species
GUCCUUGAAUCAAUUUGAGCAUAUCCCCUAGUACAGUGAAUAUCAGUUUUGUUUGCUAGCUACAAGACUGGACAAAACUGAUAUUUCAGUUGAGUUGUGCUGAGCCAACAAGGUAUUGGUGCAUGGUUGCCAUGUGUGUUUGAGCUCACAUCGUGCUGGCACCCUGAGAAUUCUUCAUCGCAAUGAGAUAAACAAGUCAAGUGAACCUGCCCUAGCCCUAUCCUUUUAUUUCAGUGCUGUUCUAGUGAUCCAGCUCUAGUUGUUCCUCUGGUGUCUCUGUGGUCUGUGUUGCAAGCCAAAGCUCUUCUCCCCAGCCACCAAGUUAGCUCUCUCCAAUUCAUCAAGUGCCACUCCAUUAUCUGGUGACCAAAGCAGCCAUCCUUCCACCUCACCGUGGCCAAGGAUCUUCGAGAGGUGUUUCGGCCAUGUUGUGCCUGUUCUCUACUCCUCACAGGAGCUUCGGAACUAGAAUAGCUUCGAUACGGAACAAUGGAAGAGCAACGAAGGUAGCUUCGUCAUAAUAACGCAAGAAGAUGAUGCAAGGAGAAUGUGUCAUCUUAAACACUGAGAGCAAAAGAUAGUAUUGUCCUUGUAUUAUUUGUAAACCCAGUGUGUAAUCUCUAAGGGCAUAAAUAUAAUACCGUACGAAGUUGUACGACUCCCUAUAAAUAGACGAACAGUGCCCUGCAUAAAGUACCUUUUUGGAGGCCCGAAAAAUUGUUGUGUGUAAUCUUCUCUUUGCCUCACCUUCGCUCUAAACCAUUUUUCUAGAGACGAAUGUAUGUUUAUAAACUUAAUAUAUGAAGGAGGAG